GAUGAACGCUGGCGGCGUGCUUAACACACGCAAGUCGAACGGGAAAUAUUUCAUUGAGACUUCGGUGGAUUUGAUUUAUUUCUAGUGGCGGACGGGUGAGUAACGCGUGGGUAACCUGCCUUAUACAGGGGGAUAACAGUCAGAAAUGGCUGCUAAUACCGCAUAAGCGCACAGAGCUGCAUGGCUCAGUGUGAAAAACUCCGGUGGUAUAAGAUGGACCCGCGUUGGAUUAGCUAGUUGGUGGGGUAACGGCCCACCAAGGCGACGAUCCAUAGCCGGCCUGAGAGGGUGAACGGCCACAUUGGGACUGAGACACGGCCCAGACUCCUACGGGAGGCAGCAGUGGGGAAUAUUGCACAAUGGGGGAAACCCUGAUGCAGCGACGCCGCGUGAAGGAAGAAGUAUCUCGGUAUGUAAACUUCUAUCAGCAGGGAAGAUAGUGACGGUACCUGACUAAGAAGCCCCGGCUAACUACGUG
rnacentral:rRNA from 1 species